AUUGAACGCUGGCGGCAGGCUUAACACAUGCAAGUCGAGCGAGCGGCGGACGGGUGAGUAAUGUAUGGGAAACUGCCCGAUGGAGGGGGAUAACUACUGGAAACGGUAGCUAAUACCGCAUACUAUCAGAUGAGCCCAGAUGGGAUUAGCUAGUAGGUGGGGUAAUGGCUCACCUAGGCGACGAUCCCUAGCUGGUCUGAGAGGUGGACCGGCACAACGGGACCUGGGACACGGUCAAAACUCCUAGGGGAGGCAGCGUUGGGGAAUAUUGCACAAUGGGGGCAAGCCUGAUGCGGCCAUGCCGCGUGUGUGAAGAAGGCCUUCGGGUUGUAAAGCACUUUCAGCGAGGAGGCGUUACUCGCAGAAGAAGCACCGGCUAACUCCGUGCCAGCAGCCGCGGUAAUUC
rnacentral:rRNA from 1 species